UACAGAGGGGGCAAGCGUUGUUCGGAAUUACUGGGCGUAAAGGGCGCGUAGGCGGCCUGCUAAGUCGAACGUGAAAUCCCCGGGCUCAACCCGGGAACUGCGUCCGAUACUGGUUGGCUUGAAUCCGGGAGAGGGAUGCGGAAUUCCAGGUGUAGCGGUGAAAUGCGUAGAUAUGCGGAGGAACACCGAUGGCGAAGGCAAUCCCCUGGGCCUGCACUGACGCUCAUGCACGAAAGCGUGGGGAGCAAACAGG
rnacentral:rRNA from 1 species